UAUUUUCCUUGUGUGCCAGCAGCCGCGGUAAUACGGAAGGUCCGGGCGUUAUCCGGAUUUAUUGGGUUUAAAGGGAGCGUAGGCCGGAGAUUAAGCGUGUUGUGAAAUGUAGAUGCUCAACAUCUGCACUGCAGCGCGAACUGGUUUCCUUGAGUACGCACAAAGUGGGCGGAAUUCGUGGUGUAGCGGUGAAAUGCUUAGAUAUCACGAAGAACUCCGAUUGCGAAGGCAGCUCACUGGAGCGCAACUGACGCUGAAGCUCGAAAGUGCGGGUAUCGAACAGG
rnacentral:rRNA from 1 species